CGAUAUCAAUAAGCGGAGGAAAAGAAAAUAACAAUGAUUCCCCUAGUAACUGCGAGUGAAGAGGGAUAAGCUCAAAUUUUAAAUCUGACGAGUCCUACUUUUCAGAGUUGUAAUUUGAAGAAGCGUUUUCUGCGUCUUGUUAACCUAAAUCUUUUGGAACAAGGUAUCAUGGAGGGUGACAGUCCCGUUCAUGGUUAACAUCAAGAUGCGUUACGAUACGUUUUCUAAGAGUCGAGUUGUUUGGGAUUGCAGCUCAAAAUGGGAGGUAAAUUUCUCCUAAGGCUAAAUAUUGGCGAGAGACCGAUAGCGAACAAGUACCGUGAGGGAAAGAUGAAAAGAACUUUGAAAGGAGAGUUAAACAGUACGUGAAAUUGUUGAAAGGGAAACGAUUGAAGUCAGUCGUACUAACGGGAAAUCAACCUAUUUGGGUUGUGAAUUUUGGAUUUUGAAGAGUGUUAAACCUUUGGGGUUCAAACAUUUGCGCUCUUUAGGCGUAAUUUCUCGUUCGGUAGGUUAACAUCGAUUUUGAAGAUUAUAAAAUGACCGGAGGAAUGUAGCUUCGAUCUCGUAUUGAAGUGUUAUAGCCUUUGGUAGAUGUAAUGAUCAAGAUCGAGGAUUGCAACGAAUACCCUUUUGGGCUAUCCGUCUGGUCUCUGAUACGUUGCCUCGGUAACGAAAGCUUGCUUACGGUAUUGAGGUAUUACGGUCAAUAGGUUAGAACGUGAUUACAUUCGUUAAGGAUGUUGACGUA
rnacentral:rRNA from 1 species